GGUACUCACGGCUGAUGGCACAAACUUUGUUUAAACAAAUCUAAAUAUAGUAUCAAACCAGACCGUACUGGUGCGUUGUGAGUGAACAGAUAUUGGAGAUGUUACUCGUUUUAAAAGUAUUUGUGUGUUCGUGAUCAUCCGUGUUUUGUGCAGUUAGAUUACAUCCUGAAGUGGAAUUUGCAUUAUUUCAACUGACGUGUGUAAUAAGUGUGAUUAGUGGCAUACAAGUAGCAGUCUCUACAUCGAAUUUGCCCAGAGUCCACGGCCACAACUCAAAGAUACCACGACUGGUGAAGGCAAACAAUGAAAAGCAACAACCAUUAUCCGAUGAGCCUGAGGCCGACGAGUUUGCCGGAGACGUGGAGG